GUGCUCACUUUGGCAGCACAUAUUUAAAAAUUGGAACGAUACGGAGCAGAUUAGCAUGGCCCCUGUGCAAGGAUGACGCCCAAGGUAUUAAACACUCCCCUCUCCUAU
ensembl:snRNA U6 U6 spliceosomal RNA